rnacentral:rRNA from 1 species
UACGUAUGGUGCAAGCGUUAUCCGGAUUUACUGGGUGUAAAGGGAGCGCAGGCGGUGCGGCAAGUCUGAUGUGAAAGCCCGGGGCUCAACCCCGGUACUGCAUUGGAAACUGUCGUACUAGAGUGUCGGAGGGGUAAGCGGAAUUCCUAGUGUAGCGGUGAAAUGCGUAGAUAUUAGGAGGAACACCAGUGGCGAAGGCGGCUUACUGGACGAUAACUGACGCUGAGGCUCGAAAGCGUGGGGAGCAAACAGGAUUAGAUACCCCGGUAGUCCCACUACU